UCAUAUUUAGGUCGUCAGCUGCCUGGAA
rnacentral:sRNA from 1 species